GUCCCUGUAGCGCAAUGGGUUGCGCGUUAGACGUCUAAUCCAAAGGUCAUGGUUUCGGAUUCCACCUGGGAUG